GUGGAGGGUCGCAGGCCGCCGCGCAGGUUGCUGCCCCCGGGAGGCGUCCACGGCCGGGGGCGAGGAGCCCGCCGGGCGCGGUACCUUUUUAGCCCAUAAUUUGUGUCUUGAAAUCUGAGGAUUCCACCAAGAUAAUAUGAUAGGAACUUUCAGUUAUUUGGGGUUGUAUCCUACUUAGACUGAUGCGGUACUACCAGAUUUCCUGAGAGUUUGCUACAGAGGUGCCCACUGCUUGUUAACUGCCACAGGCGAUAAUGCCAUCUCUGCCCCAAGAAGGAGUUAUCCAGGCACCUUCUCCCUUGAAUCUGAAUACAGAAUUACCUUAUCAAAACACCAUGAAAAAGAAAGUCAGAAAGAAGAAAAAGAAGGAAAUCAUUACAGCGAAUGUUGCUGGGACAAAGUUUGAAAUUGUUCGUUUAGUAAUAGAUGAAAUGGGAUUUAUGAAAACUCCAGAUGAAGAUGAAACAAGUAACCUUAUAUGGUGUGAUUCUGCUGUUCAGCAGGAGAAGAUUGCGGAGCUACAAAAUUACCAGAGGAUCAACCAUUUUCCAGGAAUGGGGGAGAUCUGUAGAAAGGAUUUCUUAGCAAGAAAUAUGACCAAAAUGAUCAAGUCGCGUCCUCUGGAUUACACCUUUGUUCCUCGAACAUGGAUCUUCCCUUCUGAAUACACUCAAUUUCAGAACUAUGUGAAGGAACUGAAGAAAAAGCGGAAGCAGAAAACCUUUAUAGUAAAACCAGCUAAUGGUGCAAUGGGACAUGGGAUUUCAUUGAUAAGAAAUGGGGAUAAACUUCCAUCUCAGGAUCAUUUGAUUGUUCAAGAAUAUAUUGAAAAGCCUUUCCUAAUGGAAGGUUACAAGUUUGAUUUACGAAUUUAUAUUCUGGUAACAUCCUGUGAUCCACUAAAAAUAUUUCUUUACCAUGAUGGACUUGUGCGAAUGGGAACAGAGAAGUACAUUCCACCUAAUGAGUCUAAUUUGACCCAGUUAUACAUGCAUCUGACGAACUACUCUGUGAAUAAGCAUAAUGAGCGUUUUGAACGGGAUGAAACUGAAGACAAAGGCAGCAAACGCUCUAUUAAAUGGUUCACUGAAUUUUUACAAGAAAAUCAACACGAUGUUGCUAAGUUUUGGAGUGAUAUUUCAGACCUGGUGGUAAAGACAUUGAUUGUAGCAGAACCUCAUGUCCUACACGCCUAUCGAAUGUGCAGACCUGGCCAGCCUCCAGGAAGUGAAAGUGUGUGUUUCGAAGUUCUGGGAUUUGACAUUUUAUUGGAUAGAAAACUAAAGCCGUGGCUUCUGGAGAUUAAUCGAGCUCCAAGCUUUGGAACUGAUCAGAAAAUAGACUACGAUGUAAAACGGGGAGUGCUGCUGAAUGCACUGAAACUGCUGAACAUCAGGACCAGUGAUAAGAGAAGAAACUUGGCCAAGCAAAAAGCAGAGGCUCAAAGGAGGCUUUAUGGUCAAAAUUCAAUAAAAAGGCUCUUACCAGGUUCCUCAGACUGGGAACAGCAGAGGCACCAGCUGGAGAGGAGGAAAGAAGAGUUGAAAGAGAGACUUGCUCAAGUACGAAAGCAGAUUUCACAAGAAGAACAUGAAAACCGACACAUGGGGAAUUACAGACGAAUUUAUCCUCCUGAAGAUAAAACACUACUUGAAAAGUAUGAAAACUUGUUGGCUGUUGCCUUUCAGACCUUUCUUUCAGGGAGAGCAGCUUCAUUCCAGCGAGAGCUGAAUAAUCCCUUGAAAAAGAUGAAGGAGGAAGAUAUUUUGGAUCUUCUGGAACAAUGUGAAAUUGAUGAUGAAAAGUUGAUGGGAAAAACUACCAAGCAUCGAGGACCAAAGCCUCUGUGUUCCAUGCCAGAGAGCACUGAGAUAAUGAAAAGACAGAAGUACUACAGCAGUGACAGCAGUUAUGAUAGUAGCAGCAGCUCUUCAGAAUCGGAGGAAAAUGAGAAAGAAGAGUAUCAAAAUAAGAAAAGAGAAGAAAAGCAAGUUACAUAUAACCUGAAGCAGUCCAGCCACUGCAAAUUAAUUCAACAGUCCAAUUCCAUGAGGCGUUCAGUCAGUUGCCCUCGGUCCAUUUCUGCUCACUCACCUUUCAGUGGGGAUACUCGCCCCUUUUCUGCUCAACAAAUGAUACCAGUGUCACGGCCAACUUCAGCAUCUCGGUCACAUUCCUUAAACCGGGCUUCCUCCUACACAAGACAACUGCUUCACAGCAAUGAUAGCACCUCUUCUAACUCUCAGGGGAGUGAGUCUUUCCGGCAACUGAAAACCAAAGAACAAGAAGAUGCUUUAACAAGUCAGACCUUGUUUGUUCUCAAGGACAUGAAGGUCCGGUUUCCAGGAAAGUCAGAUGCAGAAUCAGAACUUCUGAUAGAGGACAUCAUUGAUAACUGGAAACAUCAUAAAACAAAAGUGGCUUCAUAUUGGCUCAUAAAAUUGGACUCUGUAAAACAACGAAAAGUUUUGGACAUAGUAAAAACAAGUAUCCGUUCAGUUCUUCCACGUAUCUGGAAGGUACCUGAUGUUGAAGAAGUAAACUUAUAUCGGAUUUUCAACCGGGUUUUUAAUCGCUUACUCUGGAGUCAUGGCCAAGGACUAUGGAAUUGUUUCUGUGAUUCAGGAUCCUCGUGGGAGAGCAUAUUCAGUAAAACCCCGGAGGUGGUGACUCCUUUGCAGCUCCAGUGUUGCCAGCGCCUGGUUGAGCUUUGUAAACAGUGCCUGCUAGUGGUGUACAAAUAUGCAACUGACUCCAGAGGAUCCCUCUUGGGCCCUGGUCCUGACUGGGGUAACUCCAGGGAUAUUUCAGCAUUUAUCCUUGAGCCUACUACAACUGGGAGGAUGCCUUUGCUUUAAUUUUAUUGUGCAGUGAGCCUCUGCAACUUCCUCAUCACCAAACCGAUCUGGAAGAGGUAUUUACUACCAGGAAGUACCCAAUUCUUCAUGAGAACCCCAACGUACAACAUGAAAUACAGUUCAUCUGGAAUGACUCGAUCUAAUGUUUUGUUUACAUCCCGAUAUGGCCAUUUGUGAAACUGAAGGGAAGAUUGCCAUAGGUUAUGCAUAAUAGUAAUUCAUUUAUUUCCUCAAGUUGAAACUGCAAAGAAGGUGACCGUUAAGUGCUGUUUUAUGUAUAUAUGAUAUGUAUAUGUGUGAAAAUACAUACACACAGUCACUCAAAUAACAUAUAUAUUUAUUAUAAUAUAUGAAAAAGCAGAAAACUGAAUAUAAGAUUAGCCUUUCUGAAAAUGUAAUAAACUGUGUUAAAUUGUUUACACAAAAUGUGAAUGUCUAGAGUUUGCUAAGUUUAUAAUUGACUCCUUCCUGCUAGAAAUGUUAUUUUUGCUGCAGAUUAUAUAAAAAAGAAUUGAUAUUGAAGAUCCCAUUGCAGUGUAAAUUAUUUUUUAGACAACACAGCUUUUGACUUAAAGCAUUAAUAGUAUAAUACCUUAUUAUUUCUCUCACUCACAUUAGCCAUUUAGAAUAAAACACAAAAGAUUUAGAAGCCUGAUGUUCCUUGAUGAUAGGAUUAAACAUAAAACGGGUUUAUCAUUACUAUAGAACACUGUACAGUACUAGAAAAAAAUUCCAGCCUGACUCUCCAACGUUUUAACUCCUCCAUGUGAAAAUAUAGUGUGCAUUUUAAUAAUAGUGUGCAUUUUAAGUAAGGCUGUAUUAAGAUCAUAUUAUGAUCUAAAGUGGAAGACAAUCUAGUUGGUUAAAAAUAAAAUGUAAAUUCACUUUUAUUUUUACUUUUCAUAAGGAGUUACAUAAAGGAAUACAAAAAGAUAGUACUGACAGAAUCCUUCUUAUGGCUUUUGUCUCAUGCUUCUCAUUUCUAUUUAGAAAAUAUCUUUGAUGGGCUGAGCUGAUGGUUAAAUAUAGUUCUUUUGCAGAAGAGUUGACACUUCAAACUCAUUUUGGUGUUAUAGGUAAUGUGUUAUCCUUUCUAAGUCUCACAGUGUUGAGGCCAAUUUACAUUUGUUUCUCAUUACACCACAGAAAAUAAGCUACAUGAUUGUGAACAGAAAAUUCAGAUAACACAUAUUACUAGCCAUUGAAUUACCCUUGAAGGUUUUUUUAAAAAAUUAGUGUACAGUAUCAUUUUGUCCAAUGUUAUCAUGAAUAAGUUUCAUAGCAAUUUACUUCCUUUUCUGGCUUACAGUUUUUUAAAACCAAUGAGUGAGCUUUCAGGUUUUCAUAAAAAUAUAAACAGCAGUAUUGAUGGAACUCCCUAGAAAGAGCAAUAUUUACCUUUUAGAAAUGUAUUUAAACUUCUUUCUCAAAUGGCUUGUAAAUCUGUAAAAUUUGUGAAUGUUUUAAUUCCUUUUAAUAUCAUAAAAGCUAUUUCCAGUAAAUCUAGAUAUAGCCCAAAGCAGGAGAACUGAGGCAGGCAAAUUGGCCUGCUUUAAUUCACAGUUUGGAGAGCAGGCAACACAAGGUUGGAAGUUACAUAUAUUUUGAUUUUAAAGUCAUUUUCUGAGAGAGUAUUAGUCCAAGGUAAUUGGAUUUUUCCUAAAUUAUUGCUGGUUACUUGAUUCUUUAUGACUACCUAACAUCCACAUUCAGUGGACUUUUUCUUGCUAGUGCAUUUCCAAAUAAUAUGUGCUUGUCUCUGUGGAAGAAGAAUAAGGAUAUCAGGACUGAAGGAAGUUAAUGUAGUGUGUGUAACUCCAUAAAUUUUUAAAUAUGUUGCACAUUUCUUAGAAUAAAUAAUGCAAAAGUUGGGAUAUUAUGAAAUUAAUAUAUAAGAAUGAUCAACAAUAAAUCGUUUUGUGGAGUAAUUUUAGUCAUUUGUCUUUUAAAUUCAUGAUGUGGCCGUAAAGGAGACACAACUUGAAAUGACUGAUAAAUAGUAUAAACCCAGUUUGUUGGCCAUGUCCUUACUUUAGCUUCAGUCCAAAUGAUUCUUUAAUUUGCUACAGUGUAUGCAUUAGAACUUCUGUCUUUAGUUGUACAAGAAUGAAAUUUUAUUUAAAAUAGAUGAGAAUAAAGGCAUGUGCGCACACGCACAAAUUGAAAGCUAAGAAUAAAUUUAAAUGAACGAAACUACUCAGCUGUUUAAUGAACAAAUUUCAUUUCUCCAGCUACUCAAGUCUGGCCUUAUUUUAAGCACUAGAACUUUAUUACCCACAUUUGCCUAUUUAUACUGAUUGAGUUUGAUAUGGUGAAGUUGUGAAUAAAAGCCAUGUGCUCAUUACUUACAUAUACUACCUGGUAUACUGUGGACUGUGAGUGCUGCAGUGCCAUUCCCUAAUGAGCAACUAAGAAAAGAGGACAUAAUAAUGAACCAAGGACGUCUCAAGAGGCCACAGAAGUGUUUUAGAGGUAUAAAAUAUUUCUUAGUUUUGAUUAUAAAUUUUUUAUAAAACAUAUCAGCAUAAAUGAUAAUACAGGUCUCUCACUCUGUUUGUCUCAUAAAAGAGAAAUAGCUUUACAUAUUUGAAAAACUCUGAAACUACUUUUUCAUCAGAGGGUUUUAGAAGAGAAUUUGGUUUACUUAAAAUCAAAAUACAUUUUCAUUCUGUUAUAGGAAAGCGUGCCCCUUACUCAUUUGGUAAAUCUUAAGAGAAAAUGCUUUCUGAAAUUAAGAUUGAGAUGAAGCAACCUUUUUAUUUUAAAUUAUCGCCCACAAAUAAAGUCUGAGACUACAAAUUAGUUUUCAUCUUAAAUAAUCCAGCCUUAUAUAUUAGUUACCAUUCCUUUAUAUAACUGGUUGAAGGUACUACUGUGAUUCAUAUUUUGAUUAGUUUUACUAGGAAAAAAUUUUAUUUCACUAGCAUUUUAUUUACCUUGAAUAUGUAAAACUUAAAUUGUAACAAGAUCAAAUAUGGAGAUGGCAUGAGGAACUUUUGUCUAGUACGUAAUUGAAUAUCUCUUGUUAACCAUAAGAGGCAAAUAUCGUACAGAUUUUAUAUCAUGUGUCUCAAUUAGGUUUAAAUAUGCAAAAAGUUUCCACUAGUUUCUCCUCCCUACAAUUAAAACCGAACCAAACCCAAUGAAAACUCUUUGGUUCCACCUCAUAUGUAUGCAGAAUUAGAUAAGAGCAACUUCUAGACAUCAAGAAAGGAUUUCAUUUUCUCUUUUUGACUAGUAGAUGAGUAUGGAAUUUUGUUAUCUAACUUGAAAUUUCAGAUAUUUUAAUGUAAAUUAAUCCAAAUGCUUCCUCCUUUAAGAUAGCAAAGUCAUGUUGUGUAAAAAUUCUCUUAAGUCUAAAUUUAUAUAAUACUCAACCUUGUCAGAGUACCAAAAAAUUGAUACUUGCAAAAACUUCAUUAUUUAAUUUUCUGUAAAGUACUGGUUCAUUCUUAAAUGUAUAUUCUUUAAAAAGAUAGGAAAUACCUCAAAAGUGACAGAAAAUAAUUUCCUUUUAUGUUUUGUAAUCCUAACUUACAAUUUGAGUCUUAGUUUUCUUGGUUGUAAGUGUUAAACAAUAAAAAGUAUAACUAUACAAUUUCUUGUGUUCUUGUGACCUGAUAAUUUUUGAAUAUUUGCUUUUCUCUUAAAAUUGAGUUUAAGUUUUCAAGGGCCAUAUUAUCUAAAUCUUGGUUAUUAUUUAAAUGCUUUGAUUGGUGUUUAACUUAUAAAUAAAUUUAAAAUUUAGAAAUAUAUACAUAAUGAAAAUUUUAUUCCUUACAUGGCUUCUUUUUCUUCUUCUCUAACUUUCCUUUGGACUUUGCAUGGACAAAAUCAAAAGAAGAGAAGUCCUGCCUUUUAAACAUUCAUUAUUUUUCCUUAAAGUGUGUGAUGUAUUUUUGCCUCAGCAACAAUAAAAUUUAGACAAAAUA